UACGUAGGGUGCGAGCGUUAAUCGGAAUACUGGGCGUAAAGCGUGCGCAGGCGGUGAUGUAAGACAGAUGUGAAAUCCCCGGGCUCAACCUGGGAACUGCAUUUGUGACUGCAUCGCUGGAGUGCGGCAGAGGGGGAUGGAAUUCCGCGUGUAGCAGUGAAAUGCGUAGAUAUGCGGAGGAACACCGAUGGCGAAGGCAAUCCCCCUGGGCCUGCACUGACGCUCAUGCACGAA
rnacentral:rRNA from 1 species